rnacentral:lncRNA from 1 species
AGGAAGCAGAACUUAGGAGAGCGAGCAGUGCCAGCCAACCCCUCAGAGGAGAGGUCAUCGCUCUGCAGCCUGACCUUUCACCAGAAGGGAAGGGGAGGCUCCUGUGUCUACUGUUUGGAGGAGAAGGACCAGGGCCAGUCAAGUGAUGGCUUUGUCAGCCCUAGCGAGAAGAGAUUCCGUGCUAAGAUAUGGAGCUGGGGCUGGGGAGAGCACAGGGUGGAUGGGGUGAGGAGUGGGUCUGCAGGGCAGUGCUGGGCAAAGCUGGGCAAAGGACUGGGGUCUGGGAAGCAAGUCUUUGAGAGGAGGCAGAGACAGACAAAAGGGAAUCAGCUGUGUCCAUUAAUCAGAAAACA